rnacentral:lncRNA from 1 species
AGACCCUAACCCUUACUCCUCGGACCUCAGACACAAGCCCUCCCGGUCCAACUUUUAGGAAGGCAUAGAACUCACGAACCAAGCCCGGGUAGGUCACCAAAUCUAGGGAGCAAAGAUACUCCCAUCCUUGCCUUCGGAUCCAAUCCCCCAAACGGAACCCUUCUUGAUCCAAAAAUUCGGAGUGGAUCCUUCUCCCCGUGGUAACCGGUCUCCCCACAUAUUUUGCAAGU